rnacentral:rRNA from 1 species
AUGAGCAAACCCCCGACCCCCAAGCCGCUCCCGCGAGCGUCCUCGGGGGAAACCCUAGCGCGCCGCCCCUCAUCCUCCCUCGUCGAUCUCUCCCCCGCCGCCAUCGUACAACGCCGCCGGGCAAAGUCCGGCCGGCGUUGGUGGCGGCGGGGAUCUUGCCCCUCUCCUCGCGGUUGGCGUCCGGCGCGGCGCGAGACGACGCUGGGCUGGGCGGGGCCCAGCGGUGCGGCGGAGGGCGUGCUGGGUGGCGGCGCCCCUGCCUGGCGGCGGUGCAGCUGCGGCUUGGGCCCCCUCCAACGCGCGGCGGCUGCGGCUUCUCUGGCGGCGACGCGAGUUAUCCCGGCGGCGGCUUGGCGGUGUGGCGCGGCGGACCUCCGGCGAUGA